rnacentral:rRNA from 1 species
AUUGAACGCUGGCGGCAGGCCUAACACAUGCAAGUCGAGCGAGCGGCGGACGGGUGAGUAAUGUCUGGGAAACUGCCUGAUGGAGGGGGAUAACUACUGGAAACGGUAGCUAAUACCGCAUACCAUCAGAUGUGCCCAGAUGGGAUUAGCUAGUAGGUGGGGUAAAGGCGCACCUAGGCGACGCGCCCUAGCUGGUCUGAGAGGAUGCCCAGCCACACUGGAACUGAGACAUGGCCCAGACUCCUACGGGAGGCAGCAUUGGGGAACAUGGCACAAUGGGCGCAAGCCUGAUGCAGCCAUGCCGGGUGUGUGAAGAAGGCCUUCGGGUUUUAAAGCACUUUCAGCGGGGAGGCGUUACUCGCAGAAGAAGCACCGGCUAACUCCGUGCCAGCAGCCGCGGUAAUAC